rnacentral:rRNA from 1 species
GAUGAACGCUGGCGGCGUGCCUAAUACAUGCAAGUCGAGCGAACGGACGAGAAGCUUGCUUCUCUGAUGUUAGCGGCGGACGGGUGAGUAACACGUGGAUAACCUACCUAUAAGACUGGGAUAACUUCGGGAAACCGGAGCUAAUACCGGAUAAUAUUUUGAACCGCAUGGUUCAAAAGUGAAAGACGGUCUUGCUGUCACUUAUAGAUGGAUCCGCGCUGCAUUAGCUAGUUGGUAAGGUAACGGCUUACCAAGGCCACGAUGCAUAGCCGACCUGAGAGGGUGGUCGGCCACCCUGGAACUGAGACACGGUCCAGACUCCUACGGGAGGCAGCAGUAGGGAAUCUUCCGCAAUGGGCGAAAGCCUGACGGAGCAACGCCGCGUGAGUGAUGAAGGUCUUCGGAUCGUAAAACUCUGUUAUUAGGGAAGAACAUAUGUGUAAGUACCUGUGCACAUCUUGACGGUACCUAAUCAGAAAGCCACGGCUAACUACGUG